CUGGGAUAGCAUCUCCCAUCUCCCACUCACUAAAAGCACUUGGCUUCCUAAGGGUUAAAGGCUCCCCCAAGCACACACACACCCCCGGCCCCCCACGAUUUGCAGGGCAGUGAGGAUUUUGCUGGCAAAUCGCCUGUUCCUCCCAGGUACUUGACUCUCCUGCCAGCUGGGGUGCGGGGGAUGAGCCGGGGCCCACACCGAGCUGUGCGGUGUCUGUGAACGGCUCAGAGCCCUGCCCCCCUAAUCACCCCCACCUGGCUCCAAGAGCAGACUCCUCAGGGGAGCUGCUGGUUGAUUCCCCCCCGGCCCCCGGGGAAAUCCCGCGGCAGGGAGGCUUCUGUAGGGCUGGCAGGGCCUGCUUUGUGGUUAGCCCCAGGAAUGCAGGGGUUAAUGCCGGAGACACCCCUCACCCUCGGGAGUCCAGCUGGUUAGGACAUCAGUGAGAUGAGUUUGCAGGGAGCUCAGCCUAGAUACUUGGCAGCAGACGGACGGGGACGGUGGCCAGGACUCAAGCAAAUUCCAGGGCUGGGCUUGACGGGGGCUGGCGGGUUUCACGCUGGCUUGGCACGGCGAUCAGGUGUCUCCUGGCAGGCCGGGGUCAGGGGCCGAAUGGCGUUUGAUGCAAAUGUGACGACAUCCCUGUGGAGAGAUCCUGCUGGGCUGGGGUUCCCCCCCCCUCUGGUCUGCAAUGGGGAGCUGGGGUGGGGGGCUUGGGAGCCGUCGCUGACACUCCACAGUCAGCGACACCCUCACGCUACCAAAAUCUUGGUGGUAUCCGGCCCCGGGAGCGCGGCUGCAGCAUGAUGGGGCCAGCACAGGGUGGGCAGAACGCCGGGUGUGGCUCAGGGCCGCAGGUGCCAGGCUGGCAGGAGCAGAGGGGGCAUUGGGGCGGGUGGUGCUGUCCCUUGUCCCUAAAGUGGCCUCUUCCCGCCUGCCUGGCCCUUCGGCCCCACUGCGUUUGGGGCUCACACCGGCCUCUCUCCGUCUUUCCUGCAGCCGAGCUCAGACCUCUACCAGCUGCCCACAGCCCUGCUCAAGAGACUCUACGAUGGCCACCGGGUCUCCUACGAGGCGCUGCUGCAGCUGGCGGGCAAGGACGAUGCCCGUCCCAAGAUGCCCGUCCCCUCUCAGAAACGGGACAUGCACGACUUCUUUGUCGGCCUCAUGGGGAAAAGGACCCCAGAGCCCGAUGACCCCACACAUGGGAACAAGGAGACUUCCGCUGGAUUUGGUGACCUCAAAUAUCCCCCAAAUGCAGAAUGAGGUGAGGGCAGCGGGGGCCCGGGUCUCUUAGCUCCCCUUCCCGUGCGACGCCCGCGGGCUCACGCUCACACGCCU
rnacentral:lncRNA from 1 species